rnacentral:rRNA from 1 species
AGUGAACGCUGGCGGUAGGCCUAACACAUGCAAGUCGAACGGCAGCACAGUAAGAGCUUGCUCUUACGGGUGGCGAGUGGCGGACGGGUGAGGAAUACAUCGGAAUCUACUUUUUCGUGGGGGAUAACGUAGGGAAACUUACGCUAAUACCGCAUACGUCCUACGGGUGAAAGCAGGGGAUCUUCGGACCUUGCGCGAUUGAAUGAGCCGAUGUCGGAUUAGCUAGUUGGCGGGGUAAAGGCCCACCAAGGCGACGAUCCGUAGCUGGUCUGAGAGGAUGAUCAGCCACACUGGAACUGAGACACGGUCCAGACUCCUACGGGAGGCAGCAGUAGGGAAUAUUGGACAAUGGGCGCAAGCCUGAUCCAGCCAUACCGCGUGAGUGAAGAAGGCCUUCGGGUUGUAAAGCCCUUUUGUUGGGAAAGAAAAGCAGCAGGUUAAUACCCCGCUGUUCUGACGGUACCCAAAGAAUAAGCACCGGCUAACUUCGUG